rnacentral:rRNA from 1 species
UACGAAGGGGGCUAGCGUUGCUCGGAAUCACUGGGCGUAAAGCGCACGUAGGCGGGUCGUUUAAGUCGAGGGUGAAAUCCUGGAGCUCAACUCCAGAACUGCCUUCGAUACUGGCGGCCUUGAGUCCGGGAGAGGUGAGUGGAACUGCGAGUGUAGAGGUGAAAUUCGUAGAUAUUCGCAAGAACACCAGUGGCGAAAGGCGGCUCACUGGCCCGGUACUGACGCUGAGGGUGCGAAAAGCGUGGGGAGCAAACAGG